GCACUGCUGAGGAGUCCCAUACUAAGACGAAACGGCUGUCCGGUGC
rnacentral:hammerhead_ribozyme from 1 species